rnacentral:rRNA from 1 species
CCUACGGGGGGCUGCAGUAGGGAAUAUUGCUCAAUGGGGGAAACCCUGAAGCAGCGACGCCGCGUGGAGGAUGAAGGUUUCGGAUUGUAAACUCCUUUUGUUAGAGAAGAUAAUGACGGUAUAUAACGAAUAAGCACCGGCUAACUCCGUGCACGCAGCCGCGGUAUAACGGAGGAUGCGAGCGUUAUCCGGAUUUAUGGGGUUUAAGGGGUGCGCAGGCGGUCGGUUAGGUCAGCGGUCAAAGCCCGGGGCCCAACCCCGGCCCGCCGUUGAAACUGGCAGUCUCGAGUUGGAGAGAAGUAUGCGGAAUGCGCGGUGGAGCGGUGAAAUGCAUAGAUAUCGGGCAGAACUCCGAUUGCGAAGGCAGCUUGCCGGCUCCACACUGACGCUGAGGCACGAAAGCGUGGGUAGCGAACAGGAUUAGAUACCCCUGUAGUC